rnacentral:rRNA from 1 species
GAUGAACGCUAGCGGGAGGCCUAACACAUGCAAGCCGAGCGGUAUUUGUCUUUCGGGACAGAGAGAGCGGCGUACGGGUGCGGAACACGUGUGCAACCUGCCUUUAUCAGGGGGAUAGCCUUUCGAAAGGAAGAUUAAUACCCCAUAAUAUAUAGAAUGGCAUCAUUUGAUAUUGAAAACUCCGGUGGAUAGAGAUGGGCACGCGCAAGAUUAGAUAGUUGGUAGGUUAACGGCCUACCAAGUCAGUGAUCUGUAGGGGGCCUGAGAGGGUGAUCCCCCACACUGGUACUGAGACACGGACCAGACUCCUACGGGAGGCAGCAGUGAGGAUUAUUGGACAAUGGGUGAGAGCCUGAUCCAGCCAUCCCGCGUGAAGGACGACGGCCCUAUGGGUUGUAAACUUCUUUUGUAUAGGGAUAAACCUAGAUACGUGUAUCUAGCUGAAGGUACUAUACGAAUAAGCACCGGCUAACUCCGUGCCAGCAGCCGCAGUAA